GCCUUGGUGGCGGAACUGGCAGACGCGCAGGGCUUAGGACCCUGUGGGGUAACCCGUGAGAGUUCGACUCUCUCCCAAGGCA
rnacentral:tRNA from 2 species